AUAGUGAUUGGAAAAAAUGGCAGGUGGACAUGUUUUCCAGGUAUAUUGUCUUAUGUAAUAAUUGAUUUGGGUUAUUUGCAUUUUCAUCUUCCAGAUUUAGUCCACAUAAAAUGUUUUGCUGUUCGACCACCAUAAUAAUGGCAUCUUCCUUGCUUUCCUGCAUAUUUUGAAGUGCCUGUUUUUUUAUAUCUAUUAUGUUCCAUACUUGUCAGCUGCUGAGAAUCCUAGGAGGAAGUAUAUCUGGCUUGAAUAGUUCGGUGGUGAUGAGACAGCAGAUUCUUUUGUCUGCCUAUGGUUGGCUGGCUGACUGAUCUAGGGGCUUUGUGAACAAAAGCAACAGGCAGCCAGGUUUGGGAACCUGAAAAGUGGAAGAAAGUGUUGAAAAUAUCCAGAAAAAGCUAACAUUGAUGAUAUCUAGCCAUCAAAGACAUAAUUUAUAUCACCUGCUCACAUAAUGCUGGCUUCAUCUCGUCUUCCACCGAUGACCUUCACAGAUUGGAAAAGAGGUGUUAUGACUUCUUGAAUUUCCAUGUUCUACACCACCAUCUUCUACAACCUAUCCAGAAAAAGGAUGUGAUGGACUGCUAGAAUAGAUCAUGCUUAGACUGAAAGGAUUAUCAAAAUCAUGAAAUUCAAAGCAGUGUGGAAAUGAAUGAUGGGAAUGCAAAGAUUGUUUCAGAUCUCCUCAAAUUGCAUAAAGGUAUGUUUUC